UGCCAGCAGUGAUAUGCUUGUCUCAAAGACUAAGCCAUGCAUGUGUCAGUAUAUAUUUUGCAUUAGAAAACUGCGGAAAGCUCAUUAGAAAAGUGUAAAUGAAAAGUCAUAAUAAUAAUAUGCAUACCUUCUGUAAUUCUGAGGCUAAUGGAUGCAGGCGAUAAGGCAGUUCCAAAACAUGCACAUGAUGAGUUGAAAUAUCACCAAUUUAUUGGGAAUAUGUGCAAUACAAUUAUGUAAGCUGUUGCUUGUCACAUAGGCGAUUAUAUUCUUACCUAUCAGCUUGCGAUGAUACGCUAGUAACGUAUUAUGGCUGUUACGGGUGGCGAAGAAUUAGGGUUUGAUCUCGGAGAGGACGCUUGAGAAAUAGCGGCUACAUCUAAGGAAGGCAGCAGGCGCGUAAAUUACCCAAUCUUGACACAAGGAGGUAGUGACAAGAAAUAACUGUGUGUGGCUCUAUGCUGCACAUCCGGAAUGUGUGACAGGUUAAGCGUGUUGCGAGUAGCUAUUGGAGGGCAAGUCUGGUGCCAGCAGCCGCGGUAAUUCCAGCUCCAAGAGUGUAUAUUAAAGUUGUUGCGGUUGAAAAGCUCGUAGUUGGAUUUAUGCUAUGCUGGUACAGUCGACCCCCUGGGUAGGACUUGUAUUGUUGCAUUGCACACUGUAGAAUUUGUGUAUGUUUUUCAGUAAAUGUGCAGAAUACUACUUAGUUACUUUGAGGAAAGUGGAGUGUCACACGCAGGUUGCGCCGUGAACAUGCUAGCAUGGCAUGACGCUGUAUGACUACGAGUCUUUUUGAACGGUUUCGGGACACGUGGUAAUGAUUGAUAUGAGGUGUUGGGGAUACUCAUAUUUGACAGUUAGAGGUGAAAUUCUUGGAUUUGUCAAAGAUGAACAAAUGCAAUAGCAUUUAUCAUGGAUGUUUCAUUUGAUCAAGAACGAAAGUUAGGGGAUCGAAGACGAUCAGAUACCGUCCUAGUCUUAACCAUAAACUAUGCCAACUGGAAAUUGGAAUAUAUGGAGAGAAAAUAUAUUCAGUAUUGUGCCUGAAAAGAGUAAGUGUGUGGGCUCCGGGGGGAGUAUAGUUGCAAGACUGAAACUUAAAGGAAUUGACGGAAGGGCACCACCAGGAGUGGAGCCUGCGGCUUAAUUUGACUCAACACGGGAAAUCUCACCAAGUCCAGACAUACGCAGGAUUGACAGAUUAAUUGCUCUUUCUCGAUUGUAUGGGUGGUGGUGCAUGGCCGUUCUUAGUUGGUGGAGUGAUUUGUCUGGUUAAUUCCGUUAACGAACGAGACCUUAACCUGCUAAAUAGUUACACGUAA
rnacentral:rRNA from 1 species